rnacentral:rRNA from 1 species
UACGAAGGGGGCUAGCGUUGUUCGGAAUUACUGGGCGUAAAGGGCGCGUAGGCGGCCGUUUAAGUUAGGUGUGAAAGUCCUGGGCUCAACCUGGGGACUGCACUUAAUACUGGAUGGCUUGAAUUCGGGAGAGGAUAGCGGAAUUCCCAGUGUAGAGGUGAAAUUCGUAGAUAUUGGGAAGAACACCGGUGGCGAAGGCGGCUAUCUGGCCCGUAAUUGACGCUGAGGCGCGAAAGCGUGGGGAGCAAACAGG